rnacentral:miRNA from 1 species
CAACCUCGAGGAUCUCCCCAGC